GAGAGUUAAAUAGUACGUGAAAUUGUUGAAAGGGAAACGAUUGAAGCCAGUCGUACCUAUGGGUAAUCAGCCUUUUGGGUGUGAUUUUGUGGAGUGUGAAGAGUUAAACGCCUUCAUGCCUGCAAAUUCGUGCACUUUGGGUGUACUUGCCCGUAUGGUUGGUUAACAUCAAUUUUGGUGGUCAUAAAAUGACUGGAGGAAUGUAGCUUCGAUCUCGUAUUGAAGUGUUAUAGCCUUCGGUAGAUGUGAUGAUCGAGAUUGAGGAUUGCAACGGAUACCCUUCGGGGCUACCUGUCUGAUCUCUGAUCGUUGCUCUGGUGCCGAAAGCUUGCUUACGGUUAUCAAAGUCGAUGGUCAAUAGGUUAGAACGGGUUAAAUUCGUUAAGGAUGUUGACGUAAUGGCUUUAAACGA
rnacentral:rRNA from 1 species